rnacentral:rRNA from 1 species
CCCUUAGAUGUUCUGGGCCGCACGCGCGCUACACUGAUGCAUUCAACGAGUCCAACCUUGACCGAGAGGUCCGGGUAAUCUUUGAAACUGCAUCGCGAUGGGGCUAGAUUAUUGCAAUUAUUAAUCUUCAACGAGGAAUGCCUAGUAAGCGUGAUUCAUCAAAUCGCGUUGAUUACGUCCCUGCCCUUUGUACACACCGCCCGUCGCUCCUACCGAUUGAGUGUGUUGGUGAGGAGUUUGGAUUGGCCUCGGAAGGUGGUUCGCCACCGUCCGUAGCUGAGAAGUUCUCCAAACCGCCCCACUUAGAGGAAGGAGAAGUCGUAACA